CGGAAGUGCCAGCCCUGUUUGUUCCUCCUUUGUUUUUGCUGUUAGAGCCAGAGACAAGCCGUGAAGCGGGUUCAUCCAACUUCAUUCUACUCGAUGUUAGUCGAUUUCCUGCCUCAGUGGAUGAAAUCCUGGAAAUGCAGAGCCAUCAUACAGACCUUCUGGAGCUGCUGGGUCACAGAUUGGAUCUUUAGGACUGAAAAGCUUUUCUGAGAAGCCAAAGGUGGAUUUAAAGUGAAACCUAAAAGUUGU